AAGUUACAGUUGCAGAAGAUACUGAGAAAUGAUUAUCUAAGUAGGAGGGGUCAUUGUGGGAAGCACACGGUGGUUUCUAUGUAGUGUAAUUACCUAAAUGAAGGCCUGUGUCGUUGGGUGUAUAUUUUGUAUAUAAUUAAUUACAUCUUUUUACCUUCAGACAUCUUCUAUCAUCUUAAUGAUGCUUAAGAAAUAUAUACCUGAGUAAUAAAUUAAAUGGCACAGUUAAUGUAAUUUCAAAGCAUACGCAGUUCUAAAGGGAUAUUUUUAUAUUGACAGCACCUUGCUCUUACAACUGAAUGCUGCUUGGUCUUUCUGAGGGCAAGUCCCCUUUCUGAGCACCAAAGCUAUCUCUGGUAAACAGUAGGAUAAGAUUUUUAAGGUUAUAAAAAUUAUAAAUACCUUUAAAUUAUUUUUGGUUACUUAAUCAUUUAUUUUUAUCAUUAUAGAUUUAUAAAUAUGUGUUUUAUCUUUGGAGUUAUAUAUAUUCCAUUACUAUCAAUAUUAAUUACAUUGCUCCAAUUGUCUUUGCUUUGGCCACUGGAGAUCCUUUGGGUCAUCUUCUUUAUUUUUAUUACCUAGAAAAAUUUUAUUUAUUUGAGAAUAUACAAACAUUAGUUAUGUGUAACUACUCGAAUGUAAAUAUAUCUGUCUAUAUUUAUAUGAGAGAACUUCAAAAAACUGGAAAAUUGAAUUAAAAGAUAAAUUUAGGGGCAGGCACUGGGUUAGGUGGUUCCAUCACUGCUUGGGAUGCCUGCACCCCAUUUUGGAGGGCUUGGGUUCAAGUUCCAGCUCCCCUUCCAAGUCCAGCUUCCUGUGAAUAUAGCCCCUGAGAGGCAGUAGGUGAUGCGUCAAGUAGUUGGAACCCUACCACAUACGCGAGUUCCCUAUUCAUGACUUCACCCUGGCCCAGUACAAGCUGUUGUAGGCAUUUUGUGAAUGAACCAACAGUUGGAAGUUGCUCACUCUCUAUGUCUUUCAAAUAAAUUAAAAUAAAUAAAUAAAAUAAAUUUAAAA
rnacentral:lncRNA from 1 species